GGGCCUAUAGCUCAGUUGGUUAGAGCACCUGACUCAUAAUCAGGUGGUCCCAGGUUCGAGUCCUGGUGGGCCCAC
rnacentral:tRNA from 1 species